GCGCUCACUCCAGCAGCACAUAUACUAAAAUGGUACAGGGAAGAUUAGCAUGGCCAUGCACAAGGAUGACAUGCAAAUUUGUGAAGUGUUCCAUAUUUUU
ensembl:snRNA U6 U6 spliceosomal RNA